CCUACGGGGGGCUGCAGUGGGGAAUAUUGGACAAUGGGGGGAACCCUGAUCCAGCCAUGCCGCGUGUGUGAAGAAGGCCCUCGGGUUGUAAAGCACUUUCAGUGAGGAAGAACGCCUGGUGGUUAAUACCCAUCAGGAAAGACAUCACUCACAGAAGAAGCACCGGCUAACUCCGUGCCAGCAGCCGCGGUAAUACGGAGGGUGCGAGCGUUAAUCGGAAUUACUGGGCGUAAAGCGCGCGUAGGUGGCUUGAUAAGCCGGUUGUGAAAGCCCCGGGCUCAACCUGGGAACGGCAUCCGGAACUGUCAAGCUAGAGUGCAGGAGAGGAAGGUAGAAUUCCCGGUGUAGCGGUGAAAUGCGUAGAGAUCGGGAGGAAGACCAGUGGCGAAGGCGGCCUUCUGGACUGACACUGACACUGAGGUGCGAAAGCGUGGGUAGCAAACAGGAUUAGAUACCCUGGUAGUC
rnacentral:rRNA from 1 species